GUAGGUGGCAAGCGUUGUCCGGAAUUAUUGGGCGUAAAGCGCGCGCAGGCGGUUCUUUAAGUCUGAUGUGAAAGCCCACGGGCUCAACCGUGGAGGGUCAUUGGAAACUGGAGAACUUGAGUACAGAAGAGGAAAGCGGAAUUCCACGUGUAGCGGUGAAAUGCGUAGAGAUGUGGAGGAACACCAGUGGCGAAGGCGGCUUUCUGGUCUGUAACUGACGCUGAGGCGCGAAAGCGUGGGGAGCAAACAGGAUUAGAUACCCUGGUAGUCCACGCCGUAAACGAUGUGUGCUAAGUGUUAGGGGGUUUCCGCCCCUUAGUGCUGCAGCUAACGCAUUAAGCACUCCGCCUGGGGAGUACGGCCGCAAAGGCUG
rnacentral:rRNA from 1 species